UACCCUUGACAUGUCCGAGACCCUGCUGAGAGGUGGGGGUGCCCGAAAGGGAAUCGGAACACAGGUGCUGCAUGGCUGUCGUCAGCUCGUGUCGUGAGAUGUUGGGUUAAGUCCCGCAACGAGCGCAACCCUUGUCCUUAGUUGCUACAUUUAGUUGGGCACUCUAGGGAGACUGCCGGUGACAAACCGGAGGAAGGUGGGGAUGACGUUUGGAGCUCGAC
rnacentral:misc_RNA from 1 species